rnacentral:rRNA from 1 species
GAUGAACGCUAGCGGCAGGCUUAAUACAUGCAAGUCGUGGGGCAGCAUGAAUGUAGCAAUACAUUUGAUGGCGACCGGCAAACGGGUGCGGAACACGUACACAACCUUCCUAUAAGUGGGGAAUAGCCCAGAGAAAUUUGGAUUAAUACCCCGUAACAUAAUGAUGUGGCAUCACAUUAUUAUUAUAGCUUCGGCGCUUAUUGAUGGGUGUGCGGCUGAUUAGAUAGUUGGCGGGGUAACGGCCCACCAAGUCUACGAUCAGUAGCUGAUGUGAGAGCAUGAUCAGCCACACGGGCACUGAGACACGGGCCCGACUCCUACGGGAGGCAGCAGUAAGGAAUAUUGGUCAAUGGACGCAAGUCUGAACCAGCCAUGCCGCGUGAAGGAUUAAGGUCCUCUGGAUUGUAAACUUCUUUUAUCUGGGACGAAAAAAGGCGAUUCUUCGUCACUUGACGGUACCAGAUGAAUAAGCACCGGCUAACUCCGUGCCAGCAGCCGCCGUAAUAC